rnacentral:rRNA from 1 species
UACGUAGGGUGCGAGCGUUAAUCGGAAUCACUGGGCGUAAAGGGCGCGUAGGCGGCCUGAUAAGUCGGGGGUGAAAGCCUGUGGCUCAACCACAGAAUUGCCUUCGAUACUGUUAGGCUUGAGACCGGAAGAGGUAAGUGGAACUGCGAGUGUAGAGGUGAAAUUCGUAGAUAUUCGCAAGAACACCAGUGGCGAAGGCGGCUUACUGGUCCGGUUCUGACGCUGAGGCGCGAAAGCGUGGGGAGCAAACAGG